CACCCCUUCACCGCCAUGCUUAACAGUUGGCAUUGAGUUGUAUGUGUUGAUAUGCUGUUUGGUUUUGUCACAAGGUAAAACCUCUUUUCCGAAAUAAGUUAGGAACUGCACUCAAUCCCAUCAAUAUGAGUCAAGAUGCAACUAAACCUGGACCCAGCACCAGAUCCCAGAUACAAAUAUGCAAAUAACAGAGAGAGGUUUAGGUACUCCAAUGUUCAAACAGGCAAUUUUAUUUGAACCAAAUGUCAAACAGCAUUUUGACCUGUGAGGUCUUUCUCAACUAAC